GUUUGAGUAUCCGUCGAAGAAAGCAUAGUCAGCAGGAAAGUUGGGGUCAUUGUAGAGACUUAUAAAGGGAUAGAUAUUGACAGUAAAUGCGCCUCCAUUGUCACUCAAGAACUUAACAAUGCUCACCAUGAGAUCACGAAUGUCUUGGCGAAAAUCACCUGUUGAAGGUUUUUCACUUGAACUCUGGUAUACAUCAGCAUUGAGAGGAAUAGUGACUUUCACCCGAUUACCAAGACCGGCUUUUAUAAGGGCUGCUUGGAUGUUUUGAAGAG
rnacentral:misc_RNA from 1 species